UGUCGGUGGUGUUCUUGCCGUUUCUCGUGCAUUUGGUGAUAGGCACCUGAAACAGUUUGUUGUCGCAGAUCCAGAAAUUCAUGUUUGAUCUCUGACCUAUCACUUUAUUCCUACAAUGUUAUUGUCUUCAAGACUCGAGACAUAUCAUCAUCUGACAGUAAUGCCUUUGACUGCUUCGACUACUGUUGAAUGCAGGUGGAAGCGGUUGAUGGAUCUCUCGAAUUCCUCAUCCUUGCAAGUGACUGAUUGUGGGAUGUUGUCACGAACGAAUGAGGAGGCGGUGGUAGCUAUUGUCAAACCCCUACAAGAUCCAGAACAAGCAGCAAAGAAACUGUUACAGGAGGCCUAUCAAAGGGGUAGUUCUGACAACAUCACUUGGUGUCGUGGUACAGUUUCUUGGCUAGCCUUGAUAACACAACCGAGCAGCAAUAGGUACAAAUUGUCUGCUUGAUCUUUGUUAUCGCUUUGUUAUCUGUAAUGGUUUAGUGGAGUCUGUAUCAUGCUGUUUUCACUUUUGUUAGAAUAAUCAAUAAGAUUGUUUGGUUAGAGUGCCUAAAUUUCUUCCUGAAUAGUCGUUUAUAUAUACAUACCAUUUUUACCAUUUGGAAUUUACUCCUGCAAUUAAAGUAGCUCAAGUUUGGUAAUUUAAGCCUCAAGGAACAAUUUUGAUAUGCCCCCUAUGAAAGCAAAAUGAGACCCAUGAAAGAAGGUCUCUUAUUGAGUUUGUAUUAUAAAUGUUGGCAGGAAGAUUAGUUUCACAUGGAUACAGAAUUGAAGUGUCUAAUGAUACAUAGUGGAGUUUGAUUGUGAUAGUUUCCAUGGUAACUUUGACCAUUUUGACGUAGAUUCAAAGGUAAAGCCGUAUAACCAUUCUUCGUGAUUGAUCCAUCAAAGGGUCAUGCCCAUGUCUUAUCUAGCGUGGCAGAUGCGCGGAUGUGUUUGAAUAGAAUAGAAUAGAAUAGAAUCUAACCUAUUAAUUUGUUGUUUGCGCCCAUUAACAAAAAUUAUAGGUCCCAUGGCAUCCAAGAAGGAUAGGAACAUCGAAGUUACUUUUUAUUAACCCUACACAGUUUGCCUCGUGCAAAAGAGUCUACCUUAGCCUUCAUAUUCUCCUCGUCUGUUGUCGACACAACCUUUCUUGACUCGGACACAAAAAAAAGGAAGAGAAAAAUAAACCAAAAGAAGGCUAAUGGAGUUGGGGACAACGACCGAUGGAAUGAACAAGUUGAUCGACCCACUGCCGACGACGCUUUCAGCAGAGCAGCGAGAACAGAAAAAAGGAGACGAAAAGUUGGUUCACCGGGGAAAUGGAGGAGGGUGCCGAAAGCGGCGUUAAGACGUGGAUCCUGGCAUUUCUCUUUUGUCGAGGACAGCCGUAGAGAUGCCACAACGUCGAAGCUGCUGCCUCGCUCCUCCAAUUUACUCCUUCGCCCUUCCCUCUCCCUCCAAAUUUGCUGCUCAGCUUCUUCUCCUCUUCUCCUCCACCACAAGGAUUCCUCUCCGAGCCGACCACCUUGUGAGGUGUGCUUCUCUUUGCUCCUCUCAAGGGAAUCCUGUGGCCUCCACUGCCUUCGUCUUCAGUUCUUGAUCUCCGCAGCCAUGGGCUCCGAGGCGGUCGUCGUCGUCGUAGGUGAAUUGCCUCUGCUUCCGCCCAUAAAGACUGCGCCGACGCGGGACAAGCCCGUGGAAGGCCGUCCCGAUGCUGCCGAAACCGAAGAGGAAGAGUGCGUCACACCAAAAGGCGGAAGAGACCGUUCUCAAGCCCGUCCUUGUUUGUACGCCGGCGAAGAGAAAGCCGAAGCCGGCGAAGAGGGUACCGCCGGCUCCUUCCAUGGAAUUCCACGCCGUUACUCCCGAUCUUACCUCGGUCUUCCUUCCUCUCCCUCCCAAGAAGAGAAUUCGUGUAGUUUGAUCUGAAGUUUCUUCACCAAUCUCCUGUAACUCCUUCUGUUCCCCUUCUGUUUUCCCGUGUGCCUGGUAAAAGAUUUUAUUUCCUUUUAUUGUUUUCUUUUCUUCCUUAGACGAAACAAAGACCAUCAAGCACUUUGUGUAACAUGAGGAGAACUGUCCUCCACAUCAUGCUGCAAUGUGUACAUAUAUCGGACA